CCUUGACAGCCGCAUUUCGCGUCUGACUUAACCCACGACAAGGAGAUCAAAAUG
rnacentral:ncRNA from 1 species